rnacentral:rRNA from 1 species
AGGACGAACGCUGGCGGCGUGCUUCACACAUGCAAGUCGAGCGAGACUUCGGUCUAGCGGCGAACGGGUGAGUAACACGUGGGCAACCUGCCCUCAGCUCUGGGAUAACCCCGGGAAACCGGGGCUAAUACUGGAUACGACCACCGAAGACCUCUUCUGGUGGUGGAAAGAUUUAUCGGCUGAGGAUGGGCCCGCGGCCUAUCAGCUAGUUGGUGGGGUAAUGGCCUACCAAGGCGACGACGGGUA